rnacentral:rRNA from 1 species
UGGGGAAUUUUGGACAAUGGGGGAAACCCUGAUCCAGCCAUCCCGCGUGUGCGAUGAAGGCCUUCGGGUUGUAAAGCACUUUUGGCAGGAAAGAAACGUCAUGGGUUAAUACCCCGUGAAACUGACGGUACCUGCAGAAUAAGCACCGGCUAACUACGUGCCAGCAGACGCGGUAAUACGUAGGGUGCAAGCGUUAAUCGGAAUUACUGGGCGUAAAGCGUGCGCAGGCGGUUCGGAAAGAAAGAUGUGAAAUCCCAGAGCUCAACUUGGGAACUGCAUUUUUAACUACCAGACUAGAAUGUGUCAGAGGGAGGGGGAAAUACUCGUGUAGCAGUGAAAUGCGAACGUAUGCGGAGGAACACCGAUGGCGAAGGCAGCCUCCUGGGAUAACACUGACGCUAAUGCACGAAAGCGUGGGGAGCAAACAGG